GUGAAUCAUCGAAUCUUUGAACGCAUAUUGCACCCUCUGGUAUUCCGGGGGGUAUACCUGUUCGAGCGCCAUUUAAAACCCUCAAGCAUAGCUUGGUGUUGGGCAGGGUCUUAGAGGACCCGCCCGUAACUCGUAGGCGGUUACCGCCUGUGCCCUUAGCGUAGCAAGCUCACGCAUUCGCUUUGGGAACGGCGUGUGACUAUUGCCAAAUCAACCCCUUCAAAGGUUUGGCCUCGGAUCAGGUAGGGAUACCCGCUGAACUUAAGCAUAUCAAUAAGCGGAGGA
rnacentral:misc_RNA from 1 species